GCAACUGGGAAAAUGGACAUCAUCCAUUUCUCACUGCAUGCAGUCUAGGUUUUGCCAAUAGCCACAGUUACUUCUUAGGAACUGCUGUCUUCCUACUUCUUGUUUUGCCAGCACAUCAGUUAUCAGAGUAGACAUACGGCUGUCCAUUUUUCUCCUUUAAUGAAGGCAGAAUUGUCACUAAUAAAAGGUGAACUGAGAAGGGGAGAGAGACGGAAAGAGACAUCAAACUCUUUAUUUUUAGGGAAUCCAGUUUCAAAGCAAGCAGAUGAUCUUACAUUCCUGGGCACAGAAGGUACCGCUUCUCAAAUUGACCCUCUCUGGUCAAAAAGUGGAUAAUGGAGGAAGGAGAGUAGACAUCAGAAAGAGGUGGGCAGACCUCAUCCAGUCAGGUUCCGAUGACAGAUGGGAGUACAAACAGAGAGGAAGAAAAUAUCUUUCUAAGUUUCAUAAGCCGCAAAUGCAUUAGACAGAGCACUAAACUGGAGAGAGCAGGGAACAGGGGAGGAGACAGGGAGGCACUAAUGUGGAAAACAAGGUACAGAAGUAUACAGUUUACAUUGUUACAGUACAAGAGAGGAGAUGAGAGGGUUAACACUGAAAGCGCAAGACAAAAAGUACAGAAUGUAAGGCACCAUUGGGAAAGACAAAGUGCAACUCAAACUGUAUGCUUUUGGGAAAUGUAGCGUAGCCAGAUGGCUCUGGGCUCAGAGCAGUCUCACGGUCCCACAGUCCAGGGACAGUAAGCCCCCCCAGGCAUGCAAUGACAGGCCGGGCACAGAGGGGACAGGAUCAAACUCUCAAGAUGAAUGAGUUUUUUUCCUAGGUCACACACAGCGGAGAACAGAAAGGCACAGACACGAAGAAAAGGACAAACUACCCAAAGGGAGAAAGUGUAAAACAGACUCAGAGGGGAAAGCAAAAUGUUCCUCUUUAAGCAGUGCUCGGUCACUGUGGAGGGAGGAAACCAAGCCUGCAGCAGGCAGAUGGUGAAG